UACGUAGGGUGCGAGCGUUGUCCGGAAUCAUUGGGCGUAAAGAGCGUGUAGGCGGCCUUUUAAGUCCUGCGUGAAAUCCUGCGGCUCAACCGCAGACGGUCGUGGGAAACUGGAAGGCUAGAGUGCGGGAGAGGAGAGUGGAAUUCCCGGUGUAGCGGUGAAAUGCGCAGAUAUCGAGGAAGACACCCGUGGCGAAGGCGGCUCUCUGGUACGUGACUGACGCUGAGACGCGAAAGCGUGGGGAGCGAAACAGG
rnacentral:rRNA from 1 species